CACCAGCUGGGGCGGCCCACCCGUCAGCGAGCGCGCGAGGGUCGCGCGGGGUCGUCUAGCGCCGGCGCGCCGCCCACCUACCAGCGCGGACGCGAGGAGACCAAUUCCCACUUCGCUCCGCGACGGCGCGUGCUCCAGCCCCCGAGUCGCCCCCCACCACUCCCCUCCCUCCGCCUCCGCGGAAUCGUGAGGGGUUCCCAAAUCGCCGGAGCUGAUCGUGCCCAGCACGCGCGCGCGGGGGUGUUAGGGCUAGGCUGAGUCCCACCGGAAAUGGACGCCGCCGACUCCGGCGGGGGCGCCGCGGCGGAUGCCGGCGAGCCCCUCUGGGACUGGGGCAACCUCCUCGACUUCGUCCAGGAUGACGACUCGCUGGUCCUCCCGUGGGACAACGCCGCGGGGAUAGGGGCGUCCGACCCCACCGAGGCCGUCGCGCCGAUGCUCCCCGCGCCGCUGUCGCAGCCGUCGGAACCGGAGCCGGAGCUGCAACCGGAGCUGGAACCGGAACCGGAGGCGGAGCCCGGGCCGGUGCUUCCACCGCCCCCUCUUCGGGUCCAGGGGAUCGGGCGCCGCGUGCGGAAGCGGGACCCGCGGCUGGUGUGCCCGAACUACCUAGCGGGGAGGGUGCCGUGCGCGUGCCCCGAGGUGGACGAGAUGGUCGCCGCCGCGGAGGUGGAGGACGUGGCGACGGAGUUCCUGGCUGGCGCGCGGAAGAAGACUAAGACCGCGGCCCGGCGGGGCAAAGCGGGAGCCGCAGGCGGUGGCGGAACUGCUGGAGGAACUGUCCGUGCGGCGGGGAUGGAGAUGAAGUGCCAGGUGCCUGGGUGCGAGGCGGACAUACGGGAGCUCAAGGGGUACCACCGCCGGCACCGGGUGUGCCUGCGUUGCGCGCACGCAUCUGCUGUCCUGCUCGAUGGUGUCCAGAAGCGCUACUGCCAGCAGUGCGGCAAGUUCCAUGUAUUACUAGAUUUUGAUGAAGAUAAAAGGAGUUGCAGAAGAAAGUUGGAGCGCCACAACAAAAGACGACGAAGAAAACCUGAUUCUAAAGGAAUGCUUGAUAAAGAAAUAGAUGAGCAAUUGGAUCUGUCAGCAGAUGUUAGCGGCGAUGGUGAACUUAGAGAAGGUUCAGAGAACAUGGAAGGUACAACUAGUGAGAUGCUUGAGACUGUUCUUAGCAACAAGGUUUUGGACAGAGGAACACCGGCAGGAUCUGAAGAUGUGCUCAGUUCACCGACUUGUACACAGCCCAGUUUGCAAAAUGAACAAAGUAAAAGUGUAGUGACUUUUGCAGCUUCUGUUGAAGCCUGCAUUGGCGCAAAGCAAGAAAAUGCAAAACUUACUACCAAUUCCCCGAUGCAUGACACCAAGAGUGCCUAUUCGUCUUCGUGUCCAACAGGACGCAUCUCAUUCAAGUUGUAUGAUUGGAAUCCUGCUGAAUUUCCUCGACGCCUACGGCACCAGAUAUUUGAGUGGUUGGCUAGCAUGCCUGUUGAAUUGGAGGGCUACAUUCGCCCUGGUUGUACUAUUUUAACUGUUUUUGUCGCAAUGCCACAACACAUGUGGGACAAGCUAUCAGAUGAUGCAGCAAAUCUUCUCAGAAACUUGGUAAAUUCCCCUAACAGCCUUCUGUUGGGUAAAGGGGCCUUCUUCAUUCAUGUCAAUAACAUGAUAUUUCAAGUACUGAAAGAUGGAGCAACAUUGAUGAGUACCAGAUUAGAUGUACAAUCCCCAAGGAUCGAUUAUGUUCAUCCAACAUGGUUUGAAGCUGGGAAACCUGUUGAGCUCAUGCUUUGUGGAAAUUUCCUUGACCAGCCAAAGUUCAGGUCACUUCUGUCAUUUGAUGGGGACUAUUUGAAGCAUGAUUGCUACCGUUUAACGUCUCGUGAUGCCAUUGAUUGUGCUGAAAAUGUUGAUCUUAUUCUUGAUUCUCAACAUGAAUUUUUCCGAAUAAACAUCACUCAAACAAGACCGGAGAUUCAUGGGCCCGCAUUUGUGGAAGUUGAAAACAUGUUUGGAUUAUCAAAUUUUGUUCCAAUCCUUUUUGGUAGCAAACAGCUGUGUUCUGAACUAGAGAGGAUACAGGAUGCUCUUUGUGGUUCAUCUAACAGUAACUUAUUUGGAGAGUUACCAGGUGCUUGUUCUGAUCCUUAUGAGCGUCGGAAGGUUCAAAAGGCUGCUAUGUCUGGAUUCCUGGUAGACAUCGGAUGGCUUAUCAGGAAGCCUACUCAUGAUGACUUCAAAAAUGUACUGAGCUCAACGAAUAUCGAGAGAUGGGUAUGCAUAUUAAAGUUCUUGAUACAGAAUGAUUUUAUCAAUGUUUUGGAAAUAAUUGUGAAGUCAAUGGAGAACAUCAUGGGCUCUGAGGUUCUUUCAAACUUGGAAAGGGGGAAGUUGGAAGAUCAUGUAACAGCAUUUCUUGGAUAUGUAAGCCACGCUCGAAACAUUAUUAAUAGUAGACCUAACAAUGAUGAGAAAACAAAGCUUGAAACAAGAUGGAUUAGUGUUAGUUCUCCAAAUCAGUCAAGCUUAGGCACUUCUGAUCCACCUGCUAAUGAAGCUGGUCUUCAGCUCGGUAUCAGCAUUCCCUAGUCAACUGAAUCAUCUAUCAGUGACAGCUAUUAAUUAAUUUCUUUAGGUCGUUAAGAGAGAACACUGGUACUGGUGUUGAUAAGAAUUUGCACUCUGCUAGUGCAGCUUAUGAGGAAGAAACUGUGCCACUUGGGACUAGAGAUGUCUCACACAGGCACUGCUGCCAGCCUGAUAUGAAUGCUAGGUGGCUUAAGCCCUCAGUGGUGGUUAAGUAUCCUGGUGGUGCCACGAGAAUGCGACUUGGCAUGACUGUGAUAGUUGCUGCUGCGUUGUGUUUUACAGCUUGCCUCGUACUUUUCCAUCCCCAUGGAGUAGGGGCGCUUGCAUCUCCAGUAAAGAGAUGCUUAUCUAGUGACUCUGCAUCGUAGUCAAUGUUAGAUCAGAUCUUUAUUUUCCCCUGCCGCCUUCCUCUGUAUCAUAUGCGCAUUGUAAUUUGAGGCAUAGCUUGUGCAUCUGGUUUUUGGGAGAGGGUCAGCUUACAGGUGCUUUCCCCAUCUGUGCAAACCUGUUUUCUUCAGACUGUAAGUAGAGAUGCCAGAGUUUCUGACCUGCUAGUGUAUGGGUAUGUAAACUGCAAUGGUAGUGCGGCAGUCAAUAGAAAAUAAAUAGCUUCAUUGCUGCAAACAGUGGGUCUCAACUAUUGACAUGCAAUUGUAAUACUCAUUGCUCUCA